UACACGUUUUUCUAGAAACAGAAUAUUUUUCGUAGAUAAGAAACUGCAACGCCAAGACUCUUUUUCAAAGAGAUAAGAGUGUUAUUUCUUGAUGCUGCUGAAAAAUUAUCUGCCGGUGAUCAAGUGUCGCACUGGGAAUUAUUUGUAGAUGGAGAAAAAAAAAACUCGCAACUGAUAAAUCCGCCAAGAGCGAGGUAGAGUAUUUGUUCAGAAAUUGUACAAGAAGAAGAAGUUAAAAGAUGACGAACUCUCAUCCCAAGAAAGCAAUUUUUCUUCUUUCGAGAAAAUCCUCGAAAGCUGAUGUCGACGAAAAUAGUGAAGCGGAUAAUGUGCGAGAGAAGAGCCGUGAAAUGUAAACGCGGUUACUAUAUCUUCCUCAAAUUAAUAAAUUCAAGCGACGUACUGAAUGUAAUCGCCGAAGCAACACGUAAUAUGUAAGUUUAGGAAAAGCUAAAACACACUUCGAUAUGUCGCGUUUCUUUCAUCUGCUUUUGUAUUUUUACACAGAUAUGCUAACAAAUGUUUUUGUAUUUUACACAUAUAUGCUAACAAAUUGCAAUACGCAGUUUUCGUAACGCCAAUAGAAAUGCAAGUCUUUCGCGUGCUACGUAUUCUGCGAGUACUACGUCAAAUUAAACUGGCCGAUUUUCCAAAAAAAAAAAAAAAGUGUAUGACGUCUUUGGCGAGAAAUUACAAAAAACUGCUACUGAAAUAAGACUUGACAAAAGAGGAUCUACUGGUCGCACGUUCAAUUGGACAAAACUCCAGGGAUUUUCCAAGUCCUGCUGAAGUUUUCCUAAUUGACCGAACUUAUUAGUGCCAC